UCCAAUAGCGUAUAUUAAAGUUGUUGCAGUUAAAAAGCUCGUAGUUGAAUUUCGGGAUCAGUACGUUGGUCAUGCCAUGGUAUGUACUGGUGUAACUGAUUCCUCCCUUCUGACGAACCGUCAUGCCAUUCACUUGGUGUGGCGGGAAAUCAGGACUGUUACUUUGAAAAAAUUAGAGUGUUUAAAGCAGGCUCGCGCUUGAAUACAUUAGCAUGGAAUAAUGAAAUAGGACGUUAAUCCUAUUUUGUUGGUUUCUAGGAUCGACGUAAUGAUUAAUAGGGAUAGUUGGGGGCAUUAGUAUUCUAUUGUCAGAGGUGAAAUUCUUGGAUUUAUUGAAGACUAACUACUGCGAAAGCAUUUGCCAAGGAUGUUUUCAUUAAUCAAGAACGAAAGUUAGGGGAUCGAAGACGAUCAGAUACUGUCGUAGUCUUAACCAUAAACUAUGCCGACUAGGGAUCGGAUGAUGUUAAUUUUUUAAUGACACAUUCGGCGCCUUACGGGAAAC
rnacentral:rRNA from 1 species